UAUUACUUGACAGAAUUGCCUUGAAGGUC
rnacentral:sRNA from 1 species